GAGUUUGAUCUUGGCUCAGGACGAACGCUGGCGGCGUGCUUAAUACAUGCAAGUUGAGCGGAGCCAUUGAUGAAGCUUGCGAUUCAAUGGUCGAGCGGCGGACGGGUGAGUAACGCGUGGGCAACCUGCCCUCUAGUCUGGGAUAACAGUUCGAAAGGGCUGCUAACACCGGAUAAGCUCACGAAGAGGCAUCUUUCAGUGAGAAAAGUUUACGCUAGAGGAUGGGCCCGCGUCCCAUUAGCUAGUUGGUGAGGUAACGGCUCACCAAGGCGCCGAUGGGUAGCCGACCUGAGAGGGUGACCGGCCACACUGGGACUGAGACACGGCCCAGACUCCUACGGGAGGCAGCAGUAGGGAAUUUUCCGCAAUGGGCGAAAGCCUGACGGAGCAACGCCGCGUGAGGGAAGAAGGUCUUCGGAUCGUAAACCUCUGUCUUCAGGGACGAUGAUGACGGUACCUGAGGAGGAAGCCACGGCUAACUACGUGCCAGCAGCCGCGGUAAUACGUAGGUGGCGAGCGUUGUCCGGAAUUACUGGGCGUAAAGGGCGUGUAGGCGGCCAUUUAAGUCAGAUGUGAAAUACCAUGGCUUAACCAUGGGACUGCAUUUGAGACUGGAUGGCUUGAGGAUCGGAGAGGGCAGUGGAAUUCCCAGUGUAGCGGUGAAAUGCGUAGAUAUUGGGAGGAACACCAGUGGCGAAGGCGACUGCCUGGACGACACCUGACGCUGAGGCGCGAAAGCUAGGGGAGCAAACGGGAUUAGAUACCCCGGUAGUCCUAGCCGUAAACGAUGGGUACUAGGUGUGGGAGGUAUCGACCCCUUCCGUGCCGCAGUUAACACAAUAAGUACCCCGCCUGGGGAGUACGGCCGCAAGGUUGAAACUCAAAAGAAUUGACGG
rnacentral:rRNA from 1 species